rnacentral:rRNA from 1 species
GAUGAACGCUGACAGAAUGCUUAACACAUGCAAGUCGAUGGGGAAGUGGUGCUUGCACCAUGGUAACCAUGGCGGACGGGUGAGUAACGCGUAAGGAACUUACCUGCGGGACCGGGAUAACAGCAGGAAACUGCUGACAAGACCGGAUAAGGUCAUUAAGCUGCAUAGCUUAGUGAUGAAAGGAGACGCCUGCGGAGAGCCUUGCGUCCUAUUAGCUAGUUGGAGGGGUAACGGCCCACCAAGGCGAAGAUAGGUAGCCGGCCUGAGAGGGUGGACGGCCACAAGGGGACUGAGAUACGGCCCUUACUCCUACGGGAGGCAGCAGUGGGGAAUAUUGGACAAUGGGGGCAACCCUGAUCCAGCAAUUCUGUGUGUACGAAGACGGUUUUCGGAUUGUAAAGUGCUUUCAGCAGGGAAGAAGGAAGUGACGGUACCUGCAGAAGAAGCGACGGCUAAAUACGU